rnacentral:snoRNA from 10 species
CCCCUAUCUCUCAUGAUGAACACAUAUGCCUCUGAGCUGCUGUGAUUUCUGGCUUCAAAGUAAACGCUCUGAAGAAGAGAUGGGG